GGAACAUGCUGGAAAAUGUUUGUGGGGAGUGCACUAAUUAGGUUAUCAUUAAGAAUUAAGACCUCUAGUUUACUCAAGUCCCUGAAAACAGCAUGAUCAAUGUCUCUUAAAAGGUUAAAAUCAGCUUGGAGAUACUCCAAAUCAUCCAAACCAAGAAAAGUGUUCUUUUUAAACGACCGGAUCUUGUUGUUGUUUAUAUGCAGGCGCUUGACCAGCUGCAGGCCGAGGAAGGCGCCGGGGACGAUGUCAUGUAAGCCGUUGUUCUCCAAAUGCAAGCUGACUGCAUUGUAGAAGUUGGCGAACUCAUUGGGAAACAGUCUGGAUAGGGAAUUCCCAUGCAGCAGCAAGUGAUAAAACUGCGAGCUCGGACCAGUCAAGUGCUGCAGGUUGCUGAAACCGCGCUUUUCGCAAUCGAUGUGCAAAUCGCCCUCUACUGCACUGCACGAGCAGAUCUCCUCCUUGCACACGUCGCUUGUACUGUUCCCGAGAGCUGCACAAAGAGCCGCCUUCAGCAACACAAUCCACAGCAGCAUUUUUUCAAUGCUGACGAUUCAUCCCCGCAGUCCGAGACAUGGAAAAACUAUCAGAUCAUGGAUGUCUGCGUUCCUCCAGACGCAAACUGACAGACAUAUAGAUCAGCAGUCUGCAGAAACAGGAGGACAAUUCAUGUUUUGAUACAUGCCAUCCAACUCUGGUUAAACAUUUUUUCCAUCAUCUUAUUUACAAAACACUAAAAAAAGCAUCAUCAUCAUUAUCAUCAUCAUCUAAUGUCUCAGAUUACAAUGUGAGAUUAAUCUUACCAAAUAAGUGACCUUGUGUACCCCCCCCAAAAAAAAAUUCUCCUUUAGUGUAUAUUUUGGUAUUCCUCACGGAAGGAAGGGAGCUGUCCGUUCUCCCUUGGUUCUGAAAUCCCAAUGCAUCGCCACGGAGAGGACAAAUAAAGACAUAAAAAUAAAAAAAAGAAUAAAGAGAAAGAAUGAGCUAGAAGGAUGAAUCAGUGCGCAAUUAUCACAUCCUCACAAUUCCAUUCUGCUUCUUCUCCUUCUCCGCACUCCGGCGCUUUUUCAGCAUGUCUAAAGAAACGCUCGGUGCUGCAUCUAACCCCCUCUGCCGAGCUGCAGUGGAAAUAAUCCAUCGAUGUGACGUUUGGAUCGUUUUUAUGUUUGUUUGUGUGUUUGUUUAAAUCGAGCUACAAACAAUAGCAACAAUCUGAUGGUAAAAAUGGGGAAAAAAUCAAAAGUGCACGCACAAAUUCCGAAAAAAAGCGUCUUUCUGGCUAUGUCCGUGUUUGGAUGGUGUUCAGAUUGUCGUUUGUGAACCGCAUCGUGCGCGCUCAAUCAUUUCAAAACUGUUAUAUCCUCCAAAAAGACAAAAAAAAUCAACAAAAAAAAAUCUCAGCUUCUCAGAGUGAUCGUUUCAUUCCCGGAAUAUGUAUUUUUUUUUUUGAAGCGGAGCGAUUUUUUCCUCCUUUCUUCAGCGGAAGAGAGAAGAAAGGCGAGUAUGCACUGCGCCUGCUCAGGGAUACAGUCAGAGGACGAGUCUGCGAGUGUUAAUUUCUACGACAAUUUGGUGUCUCCUGGCUGGGCUGCGUGAAUCUUUCAGCUUUUCUGGACAACAAGCAAACCGGAGGACGCCUGUGGAAAAGUUUCAUCCUGAAGUCCAUGUUGACACAGGUGGUUUGCCCUUUAUUAUGCAGAGCGAAAGACCGACACAGCCUUACCACUGACUGGUAGGAAUCAUCAAAAAAAAAAAACAGCCUUAAAGUAAAUUAGAAUUUUAUAAAGUCAUUGUGUAUUGCUGUCUGUAUGGAAGGGAGUCAAUGAUAUAAGAAAUGCGUGUAUUACAUUGAGCGAUUUCUUAUAAGAAGUUUGAGGAACUUUGCCUCUGCAACGGCAGAGAUAUUGGUGUUUCUUAGAUCAUAGCUUCAAAACUAAGCUAUAUACCGACGGGUAUAUACUGUAUAGAGAGAGAGAAAGAUAACGGUAAAAAUAAACGGAAAGAGUCAGUUUCGAGGAAUAAAUAAGUAAAGAGAGUACUUUUUAAGAAGCGCAAGAGACGCAGUAUUUUUACGGCGGAUUAUCAUCAAGUGGCAUGCCCCAUUGACUCAUUCUAUCAGAUCAGCGUUACACGAUAUAUUUGGCAAAUUUAACGCAGAAGUAAAUUUUACUGAGAUAAAAAAAAGAAGGGAGGAGAAAACUGUAAGUCCAACCAAAUUGCUGUAUGUGGACUCGCCCUCACAGGUUCAGGUGCGGACGAAGAC
ensembl:lncRNA